UCUUUAGUUCAUUUUGAAAUGUUCAGUUCUUGUUCUUUAGUUCGAACUAAAGAACAAGAACUGAACAUUUCGAAAUCAACUAAAGA
rnacentral:pre_miRNA from 1 species